UACGUAGGGGGCAAGCGUUGUCCGGAUUUAUUGGGCGUAAAGAGCGUGUAGGCGGUUUGGUAGGUCCGUUGUGAAAACUCGAGGCUCAACCUCGAGACGCCGGCGGAAACCAUCAGGCUAGAGGCCGGAAGAGGAGAGUGGAAUUCCUGGUGUAGCGGUGAAAUGCGCAGAUAUCAGGAAGAACACCCGUGGCUAAGGCGGCUCUCUAGUACGGUACUGACGCUGAGACGCGAAAGCGUGGGGAGCGAACAGG
rnacentral:rRNA from 1 species